rnacentral:rRNA from 1 species
UUUAAUAGCUGCAGUAUAAAUAACUGUACAAAGGUAGCAUAAUAAUUAGGUUUUUAAUUAAAAUCUUGUAUGAAAGAUUGAAUGAAAUAUUUACUGUCUCAACUAAAUAUAAUUAAUUUUUUUUUAAGUAAAAAAACUUAAAUAAAUUAAAAAGACGAGAAGACCCUAUAGAAUUUUAUAUUUAAUUGGGGCAAUUUUAAAAUAAAAAUAACUUUUAAUAAUUUUAACAUUUAUUUAUGAAUAAUUUACCCUAAAUUUUAGUAAUAAAAAUUAAUUACCUUAGGGAUAACAGCAUAA